rnacentral:rRNA from 1 species
AAUAGAUACCCGGGUAGUCCACGCCGUAAACGGUGGGCACUAGGUGUGGGCAGCAUUCCACGUUGUCCGUGCCGUAGCUAACGCAUUAAGUGCCCCGCCUGGGGAGUACGGCCGCAAGGCUAAAACUCAAAGGAAUUGACGGGGGGCCCGCACAAGCGGCGGAGCAUGUGGCUUAAUUCGACGCAACGCGAAGAACCUUACCAAGGCUUGACAUACACCGGAAACAUCCAGAGAUGGGUGCCCCCUUGUGGUCGGUGUACAGGUGGUGCAUGGCUGUCGUCAGCUCGUGUCGUGAGAUGUUGGGUUAAGUCCCGCAACGAGCGCAACCCUUGUCCCGUGUUGCCAGCAGGCCCUUGUGGUGCUGGGGACUCACGGGAGACCGCCGGGGUCAACUCGGAGGAAGGUGGGGACGACGUCAAGUCAUCAUGCCCCUUAUGUCUUGGGCUGCACACGUGCUACAAUGGUCGGUACAAAGGGCUGCAAUACCGCAAGGUGGAGCGAAUCCCAAAAAGCCGGCCUCAGUUCGGAUUGGGGUCUGCAACUCGA